UAUUACUCUGUACGUUUAAAUAAGCCCGAAACGCAAAGCGAGAAUUCAAGCCAACGUUCGUCCGCGUCUCGUACAUGAAACUUAAAAUAACAUAAGCGCGUUUGUUGCCGUAUCAUUUCUUCAGAAACGAGCGUGAAGAUCAUAUUUGUUAUCAUUAGUCUUCGGUGUAAUCUUCUUCUUUUUUCCUAUGCG